AACUCUGUCUCAACUAAAAAUACAAAAAAUUAGCCGGGUGUGGUGGUGUGUGCCUAUAGUCCCAGCUACUUGGGAGGCUGAGGCAGGAGAAUCGCUUGAACCCGGGAGGCGGAAGUUGCAGUGAGCCAAGAUUGCACCACUACACUCCAGCCUGGGUGACAGAGUGAGACUCCAUCUCAAAAAAAAAAAAAAAAAAAAAGGAAGAAUUUCAGAGCUUCAAGAUAAAGUUUCCGAAUUAACCCAAUCAGACAAAAAUAAAGGAAAAAAAAUCAAAAGAAAUUAUCAAAGUCUCUAAGAAAUAUGGCAUUAUGUAAAAUGGCCAAACCUAAGAAUAAGUGGUGUUCCUGAGGGAGAAGAGAAGGCAAAAAGUUUGAAAAACUUCUUUGAGAGAAUAAUUGAGAAAAACUUCCUUGGCCUUGCUAGAAAUUUAGAUAUCUAAAUACAAGAAGCUCAAAGAACUCCUGGGAGAUCAAUUGGAAAAAGGACAUCACCAAGGCCUAUAGUCAUCAGGCUAUCCAAAGUCAAUGUGAAAGAAAGAAUUCUAAGAGCAGUGAGAAAAAAGCCUCAGGUAACUUAUAAAGGAAAAGCUAUCAGACUAACAGCAGACUUCACAGUGGAAACAUUACAAGCCAGAAGGGAUCAGGGUCCUGUCUUUAGUCUCCUUGGAGAGAAAAAACUGUCACGCAAGCAUUUUGUAUCCAGCAAAACUAAGUUUCAUAAAUGAAGGAGAAAUAAAGUAUUUUCAGACAAGCAAAUGCUGAGAGAAGUUGUCACUUAACCCAACCCACUCUACAAGAAAAGCUAAAAGGAGUUCUAACUCUUGAAACAAAAGAUUGAUAUGCACCAGACUAGCACCUCCUAAAAGCGUAACAGUCACAGGGCCUAUAAAACAAUAACACAACAAAGGAAACAAAAUAUCUAGGUAACAAUCAACUUGAUGACUGGAAUCAUACCUCAUAUCUCAAUAUUAAUGUUGAACACAAAUGGCCUAAAUCCACCAUGCCUGGCCGGAUUUCUUAAAUAACUCAAAGUUGAUCUACCAUUCGAUCCAGCAAUCCCACUACUGGGUAUCUACUCAAAGGAAAAGAAGUGAUUAUGUCAAAAAGGUACCUUGAAUGGUAAUACAAAAAGGUAUGUUUAUUGCAGCACAGUUCACAAUUGCAAAGACAUGGAACCAACCAAAGUACCCGCUGACCAGUGAGUGGAUAAAGAAAACGUGGUAUAUAUACACCAUGGAAUACUACCCAGCCAUAAAAUAGAACAAGAUAAUGUCUUUGCAUCAACUUGGAUAGAGCUGGAGGCCAUUGUUCUAAGUGAAGUAACUCAGGAAUGGAAAACAAAAUACCGUAUGUUCUGACUUACAAGUGGGAGCUAAGUUGUGGAUACACAAAGGCAAACAGAUUGGUAUAACAGGACUCUGGAGAGUCAGAAGGGGGAAGACGGG
rnacentral:lncRNA from 10 species